rnacentral:misc_RNA from 1 species
GUAGGUGAACCUGCGGAAGGAUCAUUAUCACGUAUCCACGUAUAAACCAUUGCGAACUGUUGUACCUUUGGAGGGAAUGAAAGGGUAGUUGUUGGGUUGGGCACAUGAGAGCUCUUGUGAUUUAUAGUUCUCGCUCGAUUCAGCCAUGGCUUUCUUGCUGUACCUGUUCUCUCUGAAGUGUAUUUUAUAAAUCACCUUAAUUAACCCUUUAAACCACAAUUUUUUAAAACUCUGAACUAAUCUAUUUCUUACUCUUCGGAGAAGAAAUUUUUAUUACGAAACUUAAGAACAACUCUUAGCAACGGAUAUCUUGGUUCUC